rnacentral:rRNA from 1 species
AGUGAACGCUGGCAGUAGGCCUAACACGUGCAAGUCGAACGGCAGCACAGUAAGAGCUUGCUCUUACGGGUGGCGAGUGGCGGACGGGUGAGGAAUACAUCGGAAUCUACUUUUUCGUGGGGGAUAACGUAGGGAAACUUACGCUAAUACCGCAUACGACCUACGGGUGAAAGCAGGGGAUCUUCGGACCUUGCGCGAUUGAAUGAGCCGAUGUCGGAUUAGCUAGUUGGCGGGGUAAAGGCCCACCAAGGCGACGAUCCGUAGCUGGUCUGAGAGGAUGAUCAGCCACACUGGAACUGAGACACGGUCCAGACUCCUACGGGAGGCAGCAGUGGGGAAUAUUGGACAAUGGGCGCAAGCCUGAUCCAGCCAUACCGCGUGGGUGAAGAAGGCCUUCGGGUUGUAAAGCCCCUUUGUUGGGAAAGAAAAGCAGCAGGUUAAUACCCCGCUGUUCUGACGGUACCCAAAGAAUAAGCACCGGCUAACUUCGUG